GCUAUAUCACAAGAUAUUUCAAAUUCUCGAGUCAUCAAUAUGAUCACUGACCACCGUAUGAGCUGAGGAGUCCAUUUCGAUACUGAGCUGAGAUAUCUCUGAGGUCUAAUUUAUGUAUGAGCUGCUCAGCCGACUUAUCUCUUCAACGUAUGUGAUAGUUGUCUAUCCCGAAUAGAUAGAAUUUGGUGUAAUCAUCUCCCUUAAUCUCGUUGGAGUGAUUAAGGGCUGAAUUAUCUCAUUCAGUUUGGC
rnacentral:lncRNA from 1 species